CCCUUAGAUGUUCUGGGCCGCACACGCGCUACACUGAAGGAGGCAGCGUGUACUCCUGGAUCGAAAGAUUUGGGUAACCCGCGAAUCUCCUUCGUGCUAGGGAUUGAGGUUUGCAAUUAUCCUUCAUGAACGAGGAAUUCCCAGUAAGUGCAAGUCAUAAGCUUGCGCUGACUACGUCCCUGCCCUUUGUACACACCGCCCGUCGCUACUACCGAUUGAGUGCUCAGGUGAAUAAUUCGGACUGCAGCAGUGUUUGGAUCCCGAACGCUGCAGCGGAAAGUUUAGUGAACCUUAUCACUUAGAGGAAGGAGAAGUCGUAACA
rnacentral:rRNA from 1 species